UCAAUCUCGUGCGGCUAGGAGCCGCCUGUCCCUCUAAGAAGAUUCAUGUGUACGCCGGCAGUAAAAACCGCGAACAACCGAACAAACGAACGGAGCNNNGCCGCAACGCGACAACCGUCCGCGAACGGAAGACGCGAGCCUUCGAGAUGCCGGAAAGUAACGCCUAGUUAGCAGGCUAGAGUCUCGUUCGUUAU
rnacentral:rRNA from 1 species